GGGGAUAUUGCACAAUGGGGGAAACCCUGAUGCAGCGACGCCGCGUGAGUGAAGAAGUAUUACGGUAUGUAAAGCUCUAUCAGCAGGGAAGAAAAUGACAGUACCUGACCAAGAAGCCCCGGCUAACUACGUGCCAGCAGCAGCGGUAAUACGUAGGGGGCAAGCGUUAUCCGGAUUUACUGGGUGUAAAGGGAGCGUAGACGGUUAUGUAAGUCUGGAGUGAAAGCCCGGGGCUCAACCCCGGGACUGCAUUUGGAACUGUGUGGCUGGAGUGUCGGAGAGGCAGGCGGAAUUCCUAGUGUAGCGGUGAAAUGCGUAGAUAUUAGGAGGAACACCAGUGGCGAAGGCGGCCUGCUGGACGAUGACUGACGUUGAGGCUCGAAAGCGUGGGGAGCAAACAGG
rnacentral:rRNA from 1 species